rnacentral:RNase_MRP_RNA from 1 species
CCCUCGUCCGACAAAUCGCCAUCGAAGCUCGCAAACAGAGACGUCUUUUUCCAAAGGCGUCUCGGUCCUCUGGACCAAGCAAUGCUUUGGGAGAAAGUCCCCGGACACACGUUAUUCCUCCCUUCUGGGGGGGAACAAAAACGCCGCGGAAACGCGCCGCCAUAGAAGCACAGCGGCUGACCUCCAAGACCUGCGCCCGGACGUAAUGGCUUCUCUUGCCGCCCCGCCCCGUCGCUACAUCGUUGGCAUUCUACCUUUCCGAGACCCGAGUUUGCUUGUCCUGGGACCAUUUGGAUGAAGAUAUGAGUCCGCGCCUGGGAUCGGGAGACUUGGUGUUCUCGGGGAUGGUUGGUGCCUUUGAUGACGGGGUGGCCGCGCGGGGGAGGUCGCUUGCCGGGCGAAUUCGAGGGUUCGUCGGAGGAGUCUUUCGUCGAGAUCGACAGGUAUGCGAUUGCGCGCCCUUCCCUUCACCGGGGUGGGCGUGUUACUCGAUGGGGCUUAUUCUUGGUGCGAGG